rnacentral:rRNA from 1 species
AUCUAUCACUAUACCACCCUGAACACACCUGAUCUCGGAAGCUAAGCAGGGUCAGGCCUGGUUAGUACUUGAAUGGGAGACCCUCUAGGAAUACCAGGUGCUGUAGAAU